rnacentral:rRNA from 1 species
UACGUAGGGUGCAAGCGUUAAUCGGAAUUACUGGGGCGUAAAGCGUGCGCAGGCGGUUUUGUAAGUUUGUCGUGAAAUCCCCGGGCUCAACCUGGGAAUGGCGAUGAAGACUGCAAGGCUAGGAAUCUGGCAGAGGGGGGUAGAAUUCCACGUGUAGCAGUGAAAUGCGUAGAGAUGUGGAGGAACACCGAUGGCGAAGGGCAGCCCCCUGGGUCAAGAUU